rnacentral:tRNA from 1 species
CCUUCGAUAGCUCAGUUGGUAGAGCGGUGGACUGUAGUCGGCUUGUUCAAAUGAUAAGAUAUCCAUAGGUCGCUGGUUCAAAUCCGGCUCGAAGGA